CGGCACGGGUGAGUAAUACAUCGGAACGUGUCUUCUAGUGGGGGAUAACUGCCCGAAAGGGCAGCUAAUACCGCAUGAGACCUGAGGGUGAAAGCGGGGGAUCGCAAGACCUCGCGCUGGAAGAGCGGCCGAUGUCCGAUUAGCUAGUUGGUGAGGUAAAGGCUCACCAAGGCGACGAUCGGUAGCUGGUCUGAGAGGGUGACCGGCCACAUUGGGACUGAGACACGGCCCAA
rnacentral:rRNA from 1 species